rnacentral:rRNA from 1 species
AGAGUUUGAUCCUGGCUCAGGAUGAACGCUGGCGGCGUGCUUAACACAUGCAAGUCGAACGAACCUUCGGGUUAGUGGCGGACGGGUGAGUAACGCGUGAGAAUCUGCCCUCAGGAGGGGGAUAACGGUUGGAAACGACCGCUAAUACCCCAUAUGCCUACUGGUGAAAUGAAUUUCGCCUGAGGAUGAGCUCGCGUCUGAUUAGCUAGUUGGUGAGGUAAUGGCUCACCAAGGCUUCGAUCAGUAGCUGGUCUGAGAGGAUGAUCAGCCACACUGGGACUGAGACACGGCCCAGACUCCUACGGGAGGCAGCAGUGGGGAAUUUUCCGCAAUGGGCGAAAGCCUGACGGAGCAACGCCGCGUGAGGGACGAAGGCCUCUGGGCUGUAAACCUCUUUUCUCAAGGAAGAAGAUAUGACGGUACUUGAGGAAUAAGCCACGGCUAAUUCCGUGCCAGCAGCCGCGGUAAUACGGGAGUGGCAAGCGUUAUCCGGAAUUAUUGGGCGUAAAGCGUCCGCAGGCGGCUUUUCAAGUCUGCUGUUAAAGCGUGGAGCUUAACUCCAUUAUGGCAGUGGAAACUGAAAGGCUUGAGUAUGGUAGGGGCAGAGGGAAUUCCCGGUGUAGCGGUGAAAUGCGUAGAUAUCGGGAAGAACACCAGUGGCGAAGGCGCUCUGCUGGGCCAUUACUGACGCUCAUGGACGAAAGCCAGGGGAGCGAAAGGGAUUAGAUACCCCUGUAGUCCUGGCCGUAAACGAUGAACACUAGGUGUCGGGGGAAUCGACCCCUUCGGUGUCGUAGCUAACGCGUUAAGUGUUCCGCCUGGGGAGUACGCACGCAAGUGUGAAACUCAAAGGAAUUGACGGGGGCCCGCACAAGCGGUGGAGUAUGUGGUUUAAUUCGAUGCAACGCGAAGAACCUUACCAG